rnacentral:lncRNA from 1 species
UGGAUGAUCAUCGCAAAAGAAAACAGACGCAAACAUGGCACAAACACAAGCAAUUGCAAGGGCGAACUAAUUAUAUAAAAAGCGUGCAAAUUUUAUUAACAUAUACAUAUCAAAUUCAACUCAAGUAAAGUACAUACAAGUAAAACAAUAUAUGACACAGAUCUAUACAUGUUAUAUUCUAAACUUGACUCGUCCAGACUUUAGAAUGACAGUCGAGCUAUGGCGGGCCAUGCACCCGUGGUGGCUUGUGAUACUUGGGCUCCCCUGCCCUGCCAUACUCACGAGGUUAGUCUGUUUCGCGCACUGGAAGAUGAUGGAAGCCUCCAGGACUAAGACCUAUUGCUACUCCUUACCACAUGGUUCAACCCUCUCUACGUGAGAAGAAAGACCAUUGGAGCGUCAGGAAGACCCCCGAGACUGAGUUCCUACUUUUAUUCUAAACACUAAGAAUCUCACCGAGAGACUUUACAUUUAAACCACCACCAACAACCUUGAAAUCACUUUCAUUCUUUCUCAAGUCACAUAUCUUUGAACCAUAAUCAAAUUACACAUUUGAGCUUUAAAGAUCAAGUCAUAUAAUUUUACUAAACGCAAACAAGUAACACAAAUUCUAAACUAGUUGCGGGAUCCACUAGAUCUAAUUAUUUAAAUUUUGUUUUCAAAACACUCUAGUAAAUGACUAAAUUUUUUCAACACCAAGGAAAACUCAUUUUUCCAAUACACCCCUACUUCAUAUUAAACACAUCCCCUUCUAUAUAUAUCUUUUUAAGUGAAUCCCAAUAUCAUUAAAUUCCCAUAUCUCUUACUUCCAAGGUGGACCCCAUCAUUUCCCACUUAACUCUCAUUUUCUCUCUCUAUCUCUUUUCUUUUUCUUUCACGUAUAACACCUUCUCACCAUUUUCUUUCUCAUUUAUUUAUUUUUUCAUUCUACCCAAAACUACACAUCAUUCUACUUCUCUCACUCAUUUCACGUCAUACACUCACUCUUUCUUUUCUUUUUCACUAAAUCCAAAACUUACAUUCACAUUCUCUCUCCAUCAUUUAUGACCUUCACGCAUCUGCCCCAUCAUCUUUCUUUUAUUUUUAUUUUUUUAUUUUUUUAUUUUUUCCCCUUAACUUACUAUUUCUUCUUCAACUAAUACCUAUUACAACCCAUUCCAUCUCCUCUUAACAUACGUACCAACACACUCCCUCCCUUUCCUUUCAUUUAUUCCUUAAAUAUCUUUUCUAUCUUCCAAAACUUUCUCUCUCCACUGCAAGUUUCCUUUAUCAACACUAAGACUUCCACCUCAUCAUUCACCUUUCACACCACAUUACUGCAGCCACUCCUAAUUUUCUUCAACACCAAUCUUAGCUACAUUUUCUUUUCACUAAACUUUUUAUUUAUUCCUCUCUACAAUUAUACUCAACUCAUUCACCUAAACCUUUUCCAUUUACUAGUAACCACCAACACCACCAAACCAAAGCCCUUUAAUUUUAUUUUUCUCUUCCAAACGUCACAAAGUCUCUACUGUCAAUUUUUUUUUUUAUCAAUGAUCACCCUCCUAUUAUAAACCACAUUCUAGCUCACUUUUUCGUAGCACACAACAAAGAACCCAUACACAUUUUCUCUUUCCUUUUCUUUAAGAUUUACGUGCUGCACACAAGUAAAUUACUACCAAAAAUAAACUAAAAUUAGAAACCAAUCUAACUUCUACCCUUCUUCUCUCUCUCGGAUCGCACCUAGAAUUAAACUCUAUUCUCUUUAAAUCUCAACCAUUCUAUUAAGUUCCCAAGCAAACUGUUACACCUCUUUUUGCUAUCAAUCACACACAUAUAUAUUAUCUCACAUCACCCAACAAUUUCUUUCUGCAUGCUAAUAUCAGUUCAAUUUAUAAGCAAUCUACCAUAGUUUCAUACAUUUCACAAUGUCCAAAACUAAAGAAGCAGUCAACAUGGA